GGCGAGCUUCCCUGAGCCGCGGGCGCGCAGGGCAGUGGAGUAGCGGGUAAGGGGCGAGCCGGGGCCCUGCGCACUGGGCGGCCGCUGCACUCGCUCUACGGAGGCUGGGAGCCGGCAAGGCGCGAGCCGCGCCGAGCCCACCGGGAGGGAAGAAGAGCUUCUCGCGCAGCGCACAGCCCUUGCCCACCGCAACAGGUCGGAGGAGGCCGGGGGUGGCGGGGCGCACGACGGGGACCCGAGGCCCGGGGUCUGGAAGAUGAGCAUGCUGGACACUGUCCACUGAUUGGCAGCGAUGGCAUUUGCGGAGAGGGUUCACAGCAGCAGUUUGUACAAUGAAGACAGAAACCUGCUUCGAAUUAGAGAGAAGGAGAGACGCAACCAGGAAGCUCACCAGGAGAAAGAGGCAUUUCCUGAAAAGACCCCCCUCUUUGGCGAGCCCUACAAGACAGAAAAAGGUGAUGAGCUGUCAAGCCGCAUCCAGAACAUGCUGGGGAACUAUGAAGAAGUGAAGGAGUUCCUCAGCUCCAAGUCCCAUCCUCUCCGCAUGGAUACCCCCGACAGCAGGCUGGCCAGGCCAAGGUACCCCCUGGUCCCUGAGAAGGGCAGCAGCAUCACACCCCACUCCUGCCACCCCAGCACCCACCACCAGUCCAGCCACACUCCCGCCCCAGGACCACUGACUGUCGGCAGCCUUGGUCAUACCCCAAAGAUGGCGCACCCCAGGGUAGAGCCCACGCCUGGCCUCCACAACAGGAGCUACCGCCCCGAGGACAGCCAGCAGUUGGGCCUAGGGCGCCCGGGCCAGGAGGGACCUGGUUCUGCUCCCCACAGGAAGGCCGAACGAAGGGCUGGUGGGGCUUCCUGCACCCUGGUCACAGACUCUGUCCCCCGGAGGGCCCUCUCACCCCUGCUCUCCACCCUGCCUGCGCCAGUGCCCCCUCUAUCACCGCUACAUUCCACCCAGCAGACUCUGCCCAGGACGCAGGCAGGCACCAAGGGACACAGCAGUCACAGCAAAGGCUACUGUUCCUCCAAGUCCUCCAGGGAUUCCAAGCACCCGGCUCUCAAAGGUCUUGAGAAGGAGAUCCCUGCAGACAGUUCAGUGGCCGUGGCAAGCCUGGGGGUUCCUCCCCCUCAGCCACCUCCACAGACGUUCCCCCCACCCCCGCUCCCCUCCAAAAGCCUGGUGAUGCAGCAGAAGCCCACGGCCUACGUCCGGCCCAUGGACGGCCAGGACCAGGCCCCCAGUGAGUCCCCUGAGCUGAAGCUGCCCCCAGAAGACUUCCGGCAACAGACCUUUGACAAAACCGACUUAAAAGUGCCUGCCAAAGCCAAGCUGACAAAGCUUAAGAUGCCUUCCCAGUCUGCAGAGCAGACCUACUCCAGUGAAGUCCAUUGUGUUGAGGAGAUUCUGAAGGAAAUGACCCACUCAUGGCCACCGCCUCUGACAGCAAUACACACACCGAGCACAGCUGAGCGGUCCAAAUUCCCUUUUCCUGCAAAGGAUUCUCAGCACAUCAGUUCUGCAACCCAAAGCCAAAAACAAUAUGACACGGUCUCAAAAACCCACCCCAAUUCUCAGCAGGGAACGUCCAUGCUUGAAGAUGACCUUCAGCUCAGUGACAGUGAGGACAGCGACCAUGAACAAGCCCCCGAGAAGCCUCCUUCUACAUCUGCACCUCCAAGUGCUCCCCAGUCUCUUCAGGAAGCUGUGGCCUCAGCACAUUCCAGCAGCGCCGAGUCAGAGAGCACCAGCGACUCUGAUAGCUCCUCGGACUCAGAGAGCGAAAGCAGCUCAAGCGACAGUGAAGAGAAUGAGCCCUUAGAAACGCCAGCUCCCGAGCCUGAGCCUCCCUCAACAAACAAAUGGCAGCUGGACAACUGGUUGACCAAAGUCAGCCAGCCUGCAGUGCCCACAGAAGCCCCGGCUCCCUCGCCUGGGCACCUGGAUGGCAAGGCCAAGGGUGGCACUGAAGGUGUUGGCCACCAACACCUGGAAUCCAAAGAGCCUCCCCCAAGAAGUUCCAGUAAAGCCACCCGGGGCCCUCCUGAAGUUCCCCACACUGCCAAGAGAAGCUGCCAGAAGUCUCCUGCCCCCCGAGAUCGGGAGCCCCCACAGAGGCAGACUGUUGGGACCAAGCAGCCCAAGAGGCUGGCCAAGGCUCCCGUGCCAGGAGUGGACUCUCGGGGCAGUGUGCAGCCAGAGGGACAUCCAGGAGUCCCCCACUGCACCUCCAAGGACAAGCCCAAGGUAAAGACGAAAGGCAGGCCUCGUGCCGGGGAUAGCCGGGAGCCCACCGCGCCCACCUCCAGUGACAGGAAGAAGCAUGGCCCCCCUGGCCCCUCCAAGGCGCCACCAGAACCAGAGCCCCCCAAGGACAGUGUGGAGGACAGGAACCCCGGGCACUUGUCGCUGGUCCCCCUCCCACAGAGCCAGGGGCUCCCCCACGGCAGCCGGGGCAGGACUAGUGGCUGUCGGCGAGCAGCUGUGAGCCAGGAGGACCGUGGGAAGGACGGUGCCCCCCUGCCUUCCCGAGACCCCCGGCACCUCUCCCCACCACACAGCCUGGUGGUGAAGAUCAGCCUCGAACUGCUGUCCUGGCCCCCACAGCCUCCUGGAAAGGGGGUCCCCCAGAAGAAGCGGGAGGACAGGCCGCCCACCACAGCGGGGAAGCAGGUGCAUGAGGAGAAGAGCAGCUCAGAAGGCAGUGCCAGCAAGCAGGCCAAGAAGAGGAAGGGUGAAGCAGAAAGAGACCACGAAAGCAAGAGGGCCCGAUCAGAGAAAGAAAACAAACCACAGCCAUCGUCGUCAUCCUCCCACAAAGAUUCUUCUAAAACAAAAGCACCCAAGUCCUCCUCUGAGUCCACCAAGAAGGAAAUGCUUCCUCCUCCACCCGUGUCUUCCUCCUCUAACUUCUCCAUCUCCUCGUCCUCGUCAUCAUCCUCAUCCUCCCAGAAGCCUACCAAGCCUUCACAAAAAAGGUCACGGCAGGAAGCUGACUCCAGUGGCCAGGACCCUCCCAAAAGUGCCAGCAGUGCCAAGGGCAGCCAUAAAGACUCCUCUGCUCCCAAGCACAGGAGAGUAGAGGGGAAGGAGUCCGGGAGCUCCUCGGAACACAGAGGCUCUUCUGGAGAGACAGCAAAUCGUUUUCCAGUGCCUUCUCUGCCAAAUGGUAACACUAAACCAGGGAAGCCUCCAGCAAAGGCUGACAAGCAACAAGUCAAUGUUCUCAUGAAGGAGGCCAAAAGGCUGAAGCAGAAAGCAGAGCUAAUGACGGACAAGCUGGGGAAGGCCUUUAAGUACUUUGAAGCCACCCUGUCCUCGAUCGAGUGCGGCAUUGCCAUGGAGGCAGAGAGCCCAGGGUCCAAGUCGGCUCAGACCAUGUAUGCAGAAACCCUGGAGCUCACGAAAUCCAUAAUGUCGUUAAAACCCUUCUCUGAUGCCACGUCGUCACCAACUCAAGAGAAAAUCCUGACUGUUCUGUGCUUGCGAUGCCAGUCCCUUCUGAACAUGGCGAUGUUUCGUUGUAGAAAAGACAUAGCAAUCAAGUAUUCUCGUGCUCUUAAUGAACAUUUCCAGAGUUCCACCAAAGUCACCCAGGCACCGUCUCCGUGCAUUGCAAGAAGCACAGGCACACCCUCCCCUCACUCCCCCAUGUCAUCUCCUGCUGGCUCCAUGGGGUCCCAGGCCAGUGCUGGCAGUGGGGGGCCCACCACCAUCAGCACCCCAGUCACCAUCCAGAGCAUGACGUCCUCCUACGUCACCAUCACAUCCCAUGUUCUGACGGCCUUUGACCUCUGGGAACAGGCAGAGGCCCUUGGGAGGAAGCAUAAAGAAUUUUUUGCCCAGCUCAGCACAAGUGUGUGCGCCUUGGCCCUCAACAGCAGUUUGCCGGACCUGGUGCACUAUGCAAGGCAGGGACUCCAGCGACUGAAGCAGUAACCACCACCACUCUUCACAGAGGCCUGGCUGGCUUGAUGCCUUACGAACAUUUUUGCACACUUCGGGAAGCCUCAGAAGCAGUUCAGUGUCUCGUCAGGACACCCCCCAUUCAGAGCAGGGCCCUGAGGCUGCUGGGCCCAGGUUCACUGGAACUCUCCAGAGUGGUAGGGCAGCCAAACCCAGGAACGCUGGCUGGGGAGUGGGGAAGAGGCUGCCUUGGUGACCACCGUGUCUUUUCCAACUGAAGUGCAAUGUAGCCUGAGUGGGCCGGUGAAUGGUCUAGAAACAUUUCCCUAGUUCUCUCCACCAGCACAGAAGCAGGUUCCGCACGCAAUCUCCAGAAGCAAUGUCCCUUGAAGAACAGAUCCACGUCACCUCUGUCACCACCACUCCAGAGGCCAUUCCAGAAGGAGGAAGGAAAAAAAAAAUGAACAAUGGAUUUUGGUAAAGGGUUUUGGGGAUGAUUUCCUUUUACGUUUUGGGGAGAAUGUGUCUAAAAAUCUAUGAAGGUCAUCUCUGGAGUAGGAGCCGUGACAGCAAGGAUUGUGAUGGUUUAAAAACGGAAUGUGAGCCCCCCCUCCCCCCCCCACCUGCACCCCAGCCUGCUCUGCUCUGCAGCCCAGCCAAGAGUGGAGGAGCCAUCCCCACAGCUCCCCGGGGAAGGACAGACCUCCAUGCUGUCCCCUCUGCAUUCUGGACUCCUUGCUCCAGGAAGGGGCCUGGCGUUCAUACUGACACACUCUACUCCGUGGUUUCUGGAAUGUGCAGGUCCCGCCACCCUGUCCCGUCAGUGAACAAAAGAAUAAUGAAAUCUACUUCCUAGAGAGGCUAUAUUUUUCUGCAACAGAUUAUUUUAUAUUUAUAGCCAAAGUAGACAUUUAGAGCCUGUGAUUGUCUAGAAGAAAUGAAUCUCUGUGAGGAUGGGGGGGGGGGGAGGUGGGAUGGGGAUUUGGAUGGUUAUCAGACUUAUUUAAAAAAAAAAAAAUGAGGGGAAAAAAAUCACCACAUGCCUUCACUCCGGUGUCUACUCGACUAAAAUGAGGAGCAGCUGCAGGCUUCCUGGAGGUGGUGUGGCCCCGACUCCUUUGGAAGAAGCGAGAGUGAAAGAAUAUACAAUCUGAAUUCCCACAAGCACAGAAUCUUCUUUUCCUCCGAAACCUGGAAGGUCUGCGGUGUGAAUGAAAGGACUUCCCUGGUGACAUGGUGAAUCUACAAAGGCAUGGAUGGUGGCAGGAGUGGUGAGGAGUUCUGGCUGUGUGAAUCGUUUGUAUGAAGCUGUUCCGUCCGUGUCUUCCCAUCCUCCUCUCCCACUGUCACCUGCCCGGGCAGAGGUCUGCGAGCCUUACGGCUGAGGCAACAGGCUCUGGAGAGUCACAGUGGGAAGGAGCCCACCUGGGUUCCAGAAGUCACGUGGUCUGCAUGGCCUGGUCUCAUGCAUGGAUGUUUAAUGCAAAGCCAUAGUUCUUCUUGUCAACUGCUUGUUUAAAAAGCCGCCUGAGGUGGAGUGGUUUGUCUGGCAGGUUGUGCUUGUGGCCCUGGGUGGCAGUCAGGCUUGGGUGACGCUUUUCCCCAGAAUAAGCUGCCUGUCAAU